rnacentral:tRNA from 1 species
GCCCUGGUGGUCCAGUGGUUAAGAUUCAGCUCUCUUACUGCUGUGACCUGGGUUCGUUUCCUGGUCAGGGAA